rnacentral:lncRNA from 13 species
AAAUAGUUAUCUUCAUAUGUAAGUGAGUGCUCAAUGAGAAAACAUCAUAUUGUCAGAACGAUAAUAAUAAAAUUUGUCAUAAAUAAAUAUUAAAUUUUCAAUGAUACAUACAAUCUAAAGCUGAAGAAACACAAAACUGAAUCCGAUUGGAACAACAAUUAUGAUAAAAAUGUUUAUUAUCAUAUUAUUAUUUAUUCUUGCUGCAUAUUUGGUGUUUCAUUGUUACUUUCAUUAUGGACCAAAGGGACGAUUAAUCAAUAAAUUAUUAGGCCCAGGUUAUCCAAUAAUUGGUACUUUAUUGGACUGUCUACAUUCAUCAGGUGAAUUUAUAAACAUUUACAAGAUUCCUUCUAAACUGCGCGCCGCACAUUUGCCAGAUUUAAAACAUUACAGCUUUUACGAAGAACUUAAAAUGUAAUAUC